rnacentral:rRNA from 1 species
UACGAAGGGUGCAAGCGUUAAUCGGAAUUACUGGGCGUAAAGCAUGCGUAGGCGGUCUUUUAAGUCUGCUGUGAAAUCCCCGGGCUCAACCUGGGAAUGGCAGUGGAUACUGGGAGGCUAGAGUGUGUCAGAGGAUGGUGGAAUUCCCGGUGUAGCGGUGAAAUGCGUAGAUAUUGGGAGGAACACCAGUGGCGAAGGCGGCUACCUGGACCGGUUCUGACGCUGAGGCGCGAAAGCGUGGGUAGCAAACAGG